rnacentral:rRNA from 1 species
AUUGAACGCUGGCGGCAUGCUUUACACGUGCAAGUCGAGCGGCAGCGCGGGCUUCGGCCUGGCGGCGAGUGGCGAACGGGUGAGUAAUACAUCGGAACGUGCCCAGUAGUGGGGGAUAGCUCGGCGAAAGCCGGAUUAAUACCGCAUACGACCUGAGGGUGAAAGCGGGGGAUCUUCGGACCUCGCGCUAUUGGAGCGGCCGAUGGCAGAUUAGCUAGUUGGUGGGGUAAAGGCCUACCAAGGCGACGAUCUGUAGCUGGACUGAGAGGACGACCAGCCACACUGGGACUGAGACACGGCCCAGACUCCUACGGGAGGCAGCAGUGGGGAAUUUUGGACAAUGGGCGAAAGCCUGAUCCAGCAAUGCCGCGUGUGUGAUGAAGGCCUUCGGGUUGUAAAGCACUUUUGGCGGGAACGAAAAGGACUGUGCCAAUACCACGGUUCGAUGACGGUACCCGCAGAAUAAGCACCGGCUAACUACGUG